UAUAUACCGGCGCGCGCAAAAUUCCGCAUUCACGUGUACGUGUAUACAGUACGAGAAACAAGGGAACACGAGAAUUUCAGCAUGUCCGGCAGGGAAGGUGGAAAAAAGAAGCCCCUGAAGCAGCCCAAGAAGAAGGGCGGUGAAUUAGAUGAAGACGAUCUGGCUCAUAAGCAGAAAAUGAAAGAAGAACAGAAGAAAUUAAAAGAAGCUCAAGCUAUGGCAGGAAAGAAGGGCCCUAUGGGUGGUGGUGGUAUCAAGAAAUCAGGAGGAGGAGGAGGAAAGAAAAAAUGACGAUUUUUUUUUACUGAUUUGACUCCUGCUGAUUGAUGAAAGCAAGCACCAUAACAGCAGGAAUGGGAACCAUCGCCUCAACAAACUUUAGUCUCACUAUCAUUAUACUAUCAUUCUUUUAUUCUAUGGAGAGAAGGUGACAUAAACUGCAUCGCAUUGAACUUCACGCUCCUCGUUACAGCUGAAGCAACUUGUUUUUGAGAGAAAAAGUUAGGAAUGUAAUAUUUGAAUGCUAUUGACUGCCUUGGAGGGUAAUAUGACAUAGUCGGCUCAAAUAGUAACACUUUGCCCCUGUGAGUGUAUGCCCAUUGAUGACAAAUCAACAGUCAAUCUGAUUUCAUUGAAUUUAGACAUAAAAAUAUAAAUAGAGAGGAAAAUUCUCUGAUUACUUUUUCCAUGGCCACCCAAAGGAUAUAUUUUUUUUACCCAAAAGGAUAUUUGAAAGCUUAUAUAAAAAUGACAAAAAUAAAUCUUCCUUGUAAAUACGGGGGGAAAAUAGGUAGUGAACAAAUGUGUACAGCCACGAGAGGGGAUGAUUGUAAACUAUGGUUCUCGAAGUGAUGCAAAUGAAACUAUAUUCCUUCAGGAAAUGGUUGCACUCGUGUCACCGAGGGGGCCAUAGUUUCAUCAAAACCUGAAAAGUGUACAUUUUGUUUAUAUCCGUCAAUGGUAUCAUAUGCAAAAGAUUGGAAUAUAAGGAAUCCAAGUAUUUGCAAGAGAUUGAAAUGUCACAAAUAACAAAAUCUGAUUAACUUGACUGACCAUCUCCUGCACGCUCACCGGGUUGUCAAAAAAAAAAACUGCAAACAUCGCCAUGCUUUCAUAGGUCUUGAUGUUGCCAUCUUAUCCAGACACACCACCUGUUCAGAAAUACAUGUCCAACUGCAUAUCCAUAGCUUCGAAUGAAAGGUUAAAAUGCAUGUAGCCGUUGAUUUUCUGUCGACAUUUUCAGAAGUGCAUCACAGGAACAAGGGCCCUAUGUUAUCCGUGGCAAGCUCACAAUAUUGAAAAGGUUCAAUUUUGAUUGGUUAAGAGCAAGUUCUUCAUAGAAUCAAUUUUAGCAGUCUGGUUUCAAUGCGGAGGUGGUUGUACCACGUCAAUGAGGAAUUACGAUCAUGUUCAUAAUUUAAAUGAUCGUCUUCUUGUUUUCCUCUUCAUUUUUUUCUGACAUUGUGCAUGUACAUAAUCAUAUGUUAUCAAGAUGGUUGCAAUAGGAAUAGGUGCUGAAAUCACUAUUACUAGAGAUCAGGAUUUUGAAAGAAUUUCAGGGAAUAUUACGUUUGUAUGUCAAAUUUAUCCAGAUAGCCCCCAAAAUGGGUAUUGUGGCAUGCACCUGUAAUCCAAGCUACUGAGGGAGUUUCAAAUUAAACCAAGGUUGCGUAUUUUGGAUGGUAAUGUCGGAGAAAGGUCCCAGACCAAAUGAGCUUUGAUCAUGAAGUGUUUAUAAUAUUGGAUGCAUUAUUGAUUAUUUUGGUAUCAAAAUUUCAAGCCCCCCCCCCCCCAGCAUCCGGUCCAUCAUCUCAAUAUGCAGUAUUUUAAACAUGAGCUUACCUAAAAAGUGAUCUCUCCUACAUGCAACGAGGAAGUGAGGUGCAACUCUAUGUGGUCCCAUAGCAAUGAUGCCCCCCCCCAUCCUCCAUACUUCUCCUUCUCUAAAAACAAAACAAAAAAUAUUGGAUAGGUCCUUCAUAUUACCCUCUUUUGAGCAUAUUCCAUUUCCUUUACAGAGACAUCAAUAGUGUUGUCUCAUUGCUUCCUGUUUGUGUAUAUGAUCUUUUAACAAGGAGGGUAGACAUCCGUAUGUGCAUGAAAUUUGACUGGUACAAGUGUCCAUUCAGACUCAAUCAACAAGAAAUAUUCAAAUGUAUUUUAUAUUAUGUAUGUCACAUUAUUAUGUAUCUCUGACUGUUAAAAUUAGUAUAAUAGAUUAUUAGGGCAUUUUAGCAAUCACUUCGCGGACACUUUCCAUAACACAGAAAGUCUGUUGUCAAAAGCCCUCCAUAACAAAGCAGCCUUUGUCAGAAAUCAGUGAAUCAAAACAGCAAUUUCAUCCUGGUGGUGUGUCAUAAAGAUAAGAGUGACUUUAUGAAUGACUGGUGAUUCUUAUGCGCUUAACCAUUGCCAAUGAACAUUUCGGUAUAUACCAUUUACCACAAGAAAGGACCACCAGUCGUUCCCAAAGUCGCUCUUUGUUUAGCAAAUAGCUUUAUGAAACAGCCCAGGGACAAAUGACGUAUAUGUAAUUUUGUGACCUGUCCAAAUCUUGAGACGAUGUGCUGUCCCGGUCCACCAGCUCCCCACAAUGACCUCUAUUCUGUCCAUUGGGCAUUUUUCGUUGAUUCUGAACGUUGCAGAAAGCAACUGCGAAGUGGAUGCUAAAAUACGCUAUUGCUGGCGAGUGUGAACAAUGGCACAUUCUAACUUGUACCCUGCUCAUGUGUAUGUAGGCCAAUACCACAAUAUUACAGUGAUAUUACCAAUGUCAGUUUUUCAAAAUCCCAUGUAUUUCAUGUACAAUGUAUUCUUCAAAAAACUGCAAUGUUGUUGCAAUAUUUUGACCGAGGUUUACAUGAACAAGGGUCAGUUGGAAUGCUUCAAUACGCAGUUACUGCUCACCAUCGCUCAAAAGAAAUGACUAUAUAACAAUUUUUUGAAAAAUCUGUAACACGGUUCCCAGUCAUGGAAAAUCCUUGAAAAAAUUUUGUGGUCAUGGAAAGUCAGGGAAUUUGGAAAAUUUGUGAAUAGUCAUGGAAAAAUCAUGGAAUUGCAUUUACCUCUUGGCUAUGGCAGCUUUCCAGUUUGUUGUGUCUCGCAACUCUCAUACUCUGUAAUCAUACUCUGCUAUGAAAAUUGGUGUUCAUGAUAUCCAUUUUCCCUGUUUUGUGACAAAUUCCAAAUUCUACAGAACUCCUAGGAUGUCACGGGAAGUCAUGGAAAGCAGCAAUUUAGUCAUGGAAAAGUAAUGGAAUUCCGUUUUCAAAUUUCUAUGGGAACCCUAGGUGUAACCUUUGUCGCAUGGCGCAUAUGACCAGGGUACGAGUUUGCGUACUGCAAUGUAAUAGAUAAGUGGUAUUUUGUCUCCGUUCCUAUUCGCAAAAUAAAUGUUUACAAGGAAAAAAGUAAAAUACCUGCAAGUUCACUGAUCCUGUUCAUAUACGCUAUCAAAAUGACUACAUCCAUAAUAGCGUAUAUGAUUGGGAUACCACAAUGUGAGUGGCCAGUUGAGAAAUUAUCUAGCUGACUUGUCAUUGCGAAUAUGUCAGAGGGAGGUUGUCUUUUGGGAUAGGAAGUGUAAAAUAUCAUUGAAAAUAAAACUGAACUCUUUGAUUUGUUUUGUAAAGAAA
rnacentral:lncRNA from 1 species